rnacentral:rRNA from 1 species
GCUUUACUGUAGCUUGGCUUUGAGUUUCGAUAAUUUGUGUGCAGUAUAAGUGGGAGACUAUGAUACAUCGGCGUUAGCUGGUGUGGAGUCAUCAGUGAGAUACCACUCUCAACUUGUUGGAAUUCUAACCUGAUACCAUUAGCUGGUUCGGGAACAGAGCCUGGUGGGCAGUUUGACUGGGGCGGUCGCCUCCUAAAGAGUAACGGAGGCGCUCAAAGGUCCCCUCAAUACGGUUGGAAAUCGUAUGAAGAGUGUAAUCGCACAAGGGGGCUUGACUGUAAGGCCGACGCGCCGAACAGGGACGAAAGUCGGAGAUAGUGAUCCAAUAGCAUCGCGUGGUGGAGCUAUUGCUCAACGGAUAAAAGUUA